GCACUGGUGGUUCAGUAGUAGAAUUCUUGCCUCCCAUGUGGGAGGCUUGGAUUUGAUUCCCGGCCAAUGCA
rnacentral:tRNA from 1 species